rnacentral:rRNA from 1 species
UACAGAGGUCUCAAGCGUUGUUCGGAUUCAUUGGGCGUAAAGGGUGCGUAGGUGGCGCUGUAAGUCGGGUGUGAAAUUUCGGAGCUUAACUCCGAAACUGCAUUCGAUACUGCGGUGCUCGAGGACUGGAGAGGAGACUGGAAUUCAUGGUGUAGCAGUGAAAUGCGUAGAGAUCAUGAGGAAGACCAGUGGCGAAGGCGACUCUUUGGCCUGUAACUGACACUGAGGCGCGAAAGCGUGGGGGAGCAAACAGG